rnacentral:rRNA from 1 species
GACGAACGCUGGCGGCGUGCUUAGCACAUGCAAGUCGAACGGAAAGGCCCUGCUUUUGUGGGGUGCUCGAGUGGCGAACGGGUGAGUAACACGUGAGUAACCUGCCCUUGACUUUGGGAUAACUUCAGGAAACUGGGGCUAAUACCGGAUAGGAGCUCCUGCUGCAUGGUGGGGGUUGGAAAGUUUCGGCGGUUGGGGAUGGACUCGCGGCUUAUCAGCUUGUUGGUGGGGUAGUGGCUUACCAAGGCUUUGACGGGUAGCCGGCCUGAGAGGGUGACCGGGCACAUUGGGACUGAGAGACGGCCCAGACUCCUACGGGAGGCAGCGGUGGGGAAUAUUGCACAAUGGGCGGAAGCCUGAUGCAGAAACGCCGCGUGCGGGAUGACGGCCUUCGGGUUGUAAACCGCUUUCGCCUGUGACGAAGCGUGAGUGACGGUAAUGGGUAAAGAAGCACCGGCUAACUACGUG